UAACUUUGACCUUUUUUUUACGUGCAGCAAAAAACAUUUGGAAGAAGAAGUUUUUUGAGGAGAAGAGAAAAACAGCUGCAUUAGAAGAGCAGGUCAACAGACUGAGACAUGAAGUCGAUGCUCAACACAAAACUCUAAUGUCUUACUUGGAAAGUAAAGAAAGGGAAGGCGGAAGACCUCAAGCGGGAGGGGACUUCAAGUCACCGUCUGAAAAGACAAACCAACGCAUGUCUCUGGCACGAUUGCAGCAUGAGGUUGAAGAAUUACGGAGGAGAAUUGAAGAACUGAAAGCUAAACUUACGGCUGAGAUGAAGGUUCGAUUCACGCUUUUCUUUUUGU